rnacentral:rRNA from 1 species
GAGAGAGACAUGCGCGCAUAUCAAUAAGCGGAGGAAAAGAAACUAACUAGGAUUCCCUUAGUAACGGCGAGUGAAGCGGGAAGAGCUCAAAUUUGAAAUCUUCAAGGUUUCUACCUUGACGAAUUGUAGUUUAAAGAAGUGUUUUCUGCUGAAGUUUUGGUAAAAGUUCUUUGGAAUAGGACAUCAUAGAGGGUGAGAAUCCCGUAUUUGACCAUUAUUUUCAGCUUUGUGAUACACUUUCAAAGAGUCGGAUUGUUUGGGAAUGCAGUCCAAAAUGGGUGGUAAAUUUCAUCUAAAGCUAAAUAUUGGCGAGAGACCGGUAGCGAACAAGUACCGUGAGGGAAAGAUGAAAAGAACUUUGAAAAGAGAGUUAAACAGUACGUGAAAUUGUCAAAAGGGAAGCGUUUGACACCAGUGUUGUUUUCUCGAAAAUCAAUUAAAAAUGGCUCGAUUUUGUAUUGCUUGAGACCUUAAAAGCUCACUGUACAUUUUUCGUGUCUUUUUUAAUGCACUUUUCGUUUAACAAGUCAACAUCAGUUUCUUUUGUUGUAAAAGGGUCAUUGGAAGGUGGCUUUCUUUUCGGAGAAAGUGUUUAUAGCCUUUGGCCUCUGCAAUCAGAGAGACUGAGGUCUGCAGCGUAGACUCUUCGGGGUUAGAUACAUUUGUGCUAAGUUAUAGCUUUUUAUAGACAACUUGUUGACUAUAAUUAGUCUUGUAGCUUACUCGCUUAUGCUAUUUUACCUACGCUUAGGAUGUUGAAGUCAUCGUAUCGCGC